UACGGAGGGGCUAGCGUUGUUCGGAAUUACUGGGCGUAAAGCGCACGUAGGCGGCUUUGUAAGUUAGAGGUGAAAGCCCGGGGCUCAACUCCGGAAUUGCCUUUAAGACUGCAUCGCUAGAAUUGUGGAGAGGUGAGUGGAAUUCCGAGUGUAGAGGUGAAAUUCGUAGAUAUCGGGAGGAACACCAGUGGCGAAGGCGGCUUCCUGGCCUGUUCUUGGACGCUGAGGCGCGAAAGCUAGGGGAGCAAACAGGAUUGAGAACCAGUACCGUCGUAAGU
rnacentral:rRNA from 1 species